GAUGAACGCUGGCGGCGUGCUUAACACAUGCAAGUCGAACGGGAAUUCUUUUAUUGAAACUUCGGUCGAUUUAAUUUAAUUCUAGUGGCGGACGGGUGAGUAACGCGUGGGUAACCUGCCUUAUACAGGGGGAUAACAGUCAGAAAUGGCUGCUAAUACCGCAUAAGCGCACAGAGCUGCAUGGCUCAGUGUGAAAAACUCCGGUGGUAUAAGAUGGACCCGCGUUGGAUUAGCUUGUUGGCAGGGUAACGGCCUACCAAGGCGACGAUCCAUAGCCGGCCUGAGAGGGUGAACGGCCACAUUGGGACUGAGACACGGCCCAGACUCCUACGGGAGGCAGCAGUGGGGAAUAUUGCACAAUGGGGGAAACCCUGAUGCAGCGACGCCGCGUGAAGGAAGAAGUAUCUCGGUAUGUAAACUUCUAUAAGCAGGGAAGAUAGUGACGGUACCUGACGAAGAAGCCCCGGCUAACUACGUG
rnacentral:rRNA from 1 species